CACGCGGUUCAGUUGAGGUUUGCCGGUCAGGCUGGGGUUGUCGGUACUGGGCGGCACUGACAGACUGUGAGGCAGUGGCGUCGCUCGCCGGGG